UACGUAGGGUGCGAGCGUUGUCCGGAAUUAUUGGGCGUAAAGAGCUCGUAGGCGGUUUGUCGCGUCGACUGUGAAAACCUACAGCUUAACUGUGGGCUUGCAGUCGAUACGGGCAGACUUGAGUUCGGUAGGGGAGACUGGAAUUCCUGGUGUAGCGGUGAAAUGCGCAGAUAUCAGGAGGAACACCGGUGGCGAAGGCGGGUCUCUGGGCCGAUACUGACGCUGAGGUGCGAAAGCGUGGGGAGCAAACAGG
rnacentral:rRNA from 1 species